rnacentral:rRNA from 1 species
UACGUAGGGGGCAAGCGUUGUCCGGAUUCAUUGGGCGUAAAGAGCGUGUAGGCGCCAGACAGGUCCGUUGUGAAAACUCGAGGCUCAACCUCGAGAUGUCGAUGGAAACCGUCUGGCUAGAGUCCGGAAGAGGAGUGUGGAAUUCCUGGUGUAGCGGUGAAAUGCGCAGAUAUCGGGAAGAACACCUAUGGCGAAGGCAGCACUCUGGGACGGUACUGACGCUGAGACGCGAAAAGCGUGGGGGAGCGAACAGG